CCAGCCUCUAGUUCAAGGCUUUUAAACUAGAUUCCAGGGUGCCCAAGAGUAGCUUGGCUGUUCUGUUUUUUGGGGUUUUUUUUUUGUUGUUGUUGUUGUUGGUUUUGUUGUUUGGUUGUUCUGAUUUAUAUAUUACAGCAGCAUGUAAGGAAAAGGCUUCAAAUGCCAUUGUCAUCGUCACCUCCAAUUUUUUACCUGUGAUAAAGCCAGGAUCCUGGGAGAAGUAACUUAUUUGAAGUCAUGGCCAUAGCAGCCUCCUCCCCUAGCCACCUGAGCCCAGCUGUGGCUCCCACUAAUGCCCCAGCCACUUGGGCCCUGGAAGACAUGCAUCAUGCUGGCAACAGUGACCCACUGCUGGACAAAUUCACCUGAGGGCCCAAGGCAGGAGCUGGACUGUCCUCUCUCGCCCACCAUAGAAUGGUUUUGGGGAACUCAGAGACCGGCGCUGGGCUCAUUUCUCAUGUGGCUCCAAUCAUCAGAUACUCACCGUGUGAUGUGCUCAUUCUCCCUCAAGAUCUCCUGUGGGCAGUUACAAAGAUCUGCUCUGAGCCCUUUCUGGGGACAGUGGCUGUGGCAUCAAUGGAUCACUGGGUCUCUUGCUAAUGGUGAUGGCAUCAAAUAGAGCCCAGACUAGCAGGUUAAAAUUCUGCGGGUACGGCCCAGACCCCAGUUGCAAGCAGUCACUUACUUGAAGCCUCAUGUCUUAGCUUUAAAAAUCCUGUGUAUAUUGCCUUGGGCUCCAUAUUAUAUCCAUGUUUUAGUCAGGAUGCUGACUCAUGGGAUGCUGAGAUAACCCCCAAGUCACAGUGGCUGAAUACCUCUGAGGUUUAUUUCUCACUUGUGCAAAUCUGAUGGGGGGGUCCGGGGGCUCUCCAGAAUGAUGCCCCUUCGUGCAGAGUCCAGGCUGCUUCCUCCGUCUUCCCUCAAGGACUGCUUCUCAGUUGCCUUUGAGAAGAAGAGAAGACAGGAGUAUUUCAGGAAUGGGUUGUUCAGGGAGUGCUGACCUCAACACUGCCCACACGCCCAUGGCCAGAACCUGGUCCACCUGGCCCCAACGUAAGUGCAGGGGAUGUUGGGAAAUUCCUCCUGUACCUCCAAGUUGAAAAAAUGAAAUGGGACUUGGGUGAACAUAUAGAACCAUUUUGCCUCAACUCAUAUUUGUUUUAAUAUAACAAUGCCUUACUCCCCUUCGACUUCAAAUAAAAUUGCUGCUCCAAGAAAAUGACCAUGUUUGCCUUGGAGCUACAUGGAGCACCCCGCCCCCAUCGCGUUUCCCCCCCCCCCAUUUGAGAAGCACAGAGGGAUAGAGGGCACGUGCGUUUCCAAGACUCCUGAGCCAGGGGAUUCUGGGAGUAUCUUUAUCCUCCCACCAAGAAAGCCCAUCCUAGGCUCUGUAUUUGGCACAGCUCGGCUCAGCUCAGCUCUUGCAGCUCAGCUCCAGGAUCCUUGGGGAGCCUUCCCAAGCCCUGGGAAACACAGUCCAAAGCUGAAGUUUCCCCCUUGUGGAGGAGAGGGGCCACGACUGGGUCCCAGACAGAGUGUCUGCCCUUCCCAGGCUGGAGCAGAGCCCUCAGUCCAAGGCGCUGGGGCCCUCAGGCCUAGAGACAUGUGGUCCAGCCAAGCCAGCUGCAGCUAUCGGCCUGCUGAAGAGGUAGGCCCUGCACAAAGCAGGCUCAGGGCAGGGAAUCCAGUGGCAUCAGGGCUCCUCUGGUGGCUGGUGGAAGCUGUGUCACAACAUAGGGCACUGGGGGUGGGGGAAGUGUAACCACAUCCCUCAUUCACGUUUCCUGAGCACGUGCAAUGGCCCGACCAUGCCGGGCACAGGACACACAUCAACUUGGAUGUACAGUUGUUGUUAGUUCAUUUAGCCCAAGAAGCAUGUUCAGGAAAAGGAUACAGUUAUUAUCAUCCCAUUUUACAGUUAAGACAACUGAGGUUCAAAACUGAGGUGAAGUGACUUGGCUGGGAAAUGCUGAAGCCUGUUUGCGAUCCCAGCCUGGUGGAGCAGGCACCCCAGAAGGUUCUCCUCCAGGCUGUUGUGAUGGGCCCCCACCCCUGCCUUCAAAUGGUAGGUGAGUCCUGCCUAGGGAGGCGCCUGAGAACAUGCAGAAGUGGGAGAUUCUGGGAGAGGCCUUGGUAGCAGCAUGUCAGCAAACGCUUCUCUGAAAAGCCCUGGCAUGUGAUAAAAUCCUCAAGGGAAGGCCUCAUGGGUCUCUGCCUCCUGGAGGCGCCCCAACCCAACUAGGUUCUCAGAAUAAGGACCCCUUGGGAAUUGGCUGACUAGGCAGCAAAGUGAGGGCGGAGGGGUCCUGGGAGGCCGGGUCCCCAUAACUUGGGCAGGAAUGUGCCAGGCUGUGUGGGCAUGGGAGGCCAGUGGAGAAAAUGGGGACAAUGUGUGAGGACCAACUUUGUCCCAAACACUGGGGUCACCCCAGCCAUCAGGUGACAGCCCUCCCCUUCUACCGCCAGUCACAGGAGACCUUGAGUCCUGAAGAAGCUUCACGCCUUGCCCAAGGCCACAGAAGACUGCCCUUCCCGGCCCACAGGCCACCACAGAGACUCUGAGGUGGGACAGGAGGCAAAGGGAAGCUUUAUUGCAGGUCAGAACGUCCCAGGACUCCAGCCACCCACGCGUCAUGACAACCAGAACCUCUGCUCUGAGCCCAGGGUUUCCGGUCUGGAAAUGACACGCUCGUUUCAGCCUUUUCUCUGUGCUCACAUGCUGUGUGUGAGGUGACACCUGACGGGCAGGGAAGGGGCAGAGAGGAGCCCUGGAUGCCGGGGCCAAGCGCCCUUUGCUCCACGGCCAGCCAGGAAAUGUUCGCACACAUCCCAUCUUCUUCACUUGCUAAAAUAUGGAAGAAUGGUAAACAUUUUGCACAGGUUUUCUCUUAAAAAAAAAAAAAAAGCUUUUAAAGAGUUUUGAUUCUUGUAAUAUAUCUGGAAAAUUCACAUUCAUGGAAAUUCAUUCCCUGAGGACACUGGGUAAGACGAACCCUCGCUGCCUGGGAAUGGCCCUCAGCCACUGGGCUUCUUCUUGUCAUUCCGAUUCUUUUUCUUUCUUCUAAGUGUUGUGUAGUUUCAGUUAUACAGCAGUGAUUCAGAUACAUAUACACGUAUAUACAUACACAUACACACACAUAUAUAUAUUCUUUUUCAGAUUCUUUUCCAUUAUGUUAUUACAGAUAUUGAACAUAAGUCCUUGCGCUAGCCAGUAGGUCCUUGUCGUUUAUCUAUUUUAUAUAUAGCAGUAGGUAUCUAUUAAUCCCAAAUCCUUAAUUUAUUCCUCUCCUCUUUCCCCUUUGGAAACCAUGAGUUUGUUUUCUAUGUCUGUGAGUCUAUUUCUGUUGUGUAAAUAAGUUCAUUUGUGUCAUAUUUUAUUUUUAAAGCUUUAUUGGAGUAUAGUUGAUUCACAAUGUUGUGAUAAUGUCAUAUUUUUUUAUUAUGUACAGUCUUAUUCAUAAUAGAGAAAAAUAUAAUGUGUCAUAUUUUAGAUUCUACAUAUCAGUGAUAUCAUAUGGUAUUCAUCUUUUUCUUUCUGACUGACUUCACUCGAUAUGAUAAUCUCUAUCCAUCCACGUUGCUGCAAAUAGCAUUCCAUUCUUUUUAUGACUGAAUAGUAUUCCAUUUUGUAUAUGUACCACAUCUUUACCCAUCCAUUUUUAAUGGACAUUUAGGUUGCUUACAUGUUUUGGCUGCUAUGAAUAUUGAGGUCUGUGUGUCUUUUAGAAUUAGAGUUUUCUCCUGAUAUAUGCCCAGGAGUGGGGUUGCUGAAUCAUAUGGUAACUCUAUAUUUAGUUCUUUAAAGAACCUCCAUACUAUUCUCUAUAGAGGCUGCUAUAAUUUUUAAAAAUAUGCAGCAAAGAUAUGUUAUACCCAUAAAUACACAUAUGAUAUUAAUGUGUAUAGAUGACUAAAACAAAAACAGCACAAAAAGAUGUCAGUAACAAGUACUCUCCCUUCUAACCCUGUCUCUCAAUUCUCCAGUCUGUCCCCAGAGGCAGCUAUAGUUUCUGGGUUUUGAGUGUCCUUUCAAAGACUGUGCACAUACAGGAAUUCUUCCACAUGUGUGUAUCCACUAACCUACACUCUGCUUUUCACGUAACCCUGUUUCUUGGAGACUGUUGCAUGACAUGUACAUGUCAGCUGACCUCAGCUUUUUGUUUGUUUGUUUUGUUUUUUGGCCGCACCUGCACCAUGUGGAAGUUCCCAGGCCAGGGACAGAAUCUGUGCCACAGCACCAGCCCAAGCCGCUGCGGUGAUAACAGCCAAUCCUUGACCCACUGCAACAUAAGAGAACUCUUGGCCUCAGUUUUUUAAUGGUGCCAUUGGCAAGCUAUUACACCACGCGCUAUAAUUACUUUUAAUACUUUCAUUUACUUAACUUGUCCUCAGUUGAUGCAUUUAGUUUGCUUCCAGUUUUCUGUUACUACAUAAAGGGCUGCAGGGAUUAUAGUACACGCAUCUUUACGCACAUGUGCGAGUGUGUCCUACAAGUAGGCCCAAGGCUACGUGCAUUUUUUUCUCUUUUUGUGGCUGCCCCUGUGGCAUAUGGAAGUUCCCAGGCUUGGGGUUGAAAGCAAGCUGCAGCUGCUGGCCUACACCACAACACGGGAUCCAAGCCACAUAUGCAACGCCAGAUCCUUAACCUAUCAGGUGAGGCCAGGGAUGGAACCUGCAUCCUCAAGAACAUUAUGUCAGGUUCUUAACCCACUGAGCCACAGUGAGAACUCCAUGCACUUUAAAUGGCAACCAGUAUUGCCAAAUUGCCAACCCAAGUGGCUGCACCGAUUUUCAGUCCCACUAAACAAUGUGUGAGGGCCAGAUCCCCCCAUCCUCCCCAGCACAGCAUGCUGUCAAAACGCUGACCUUGGCCAGUUGGUGGGCAAAACACAUGGCAUCGUCUCAUUAUAGAUUUAAUUUUUGUUUCUCUUGUGAAUGAGGUGGAGACUGCGUUUCAAAGUCCUUGGUAUUUCCUUUUCUACAAACAGGCUGCUUGUGUUCUUUGCUCUUUUUUCUACUGGUCUUUUUCUUGUUGAUUUGUAGCAUCACUUUGCAGAUGAAAAGAAUUAGCCUUUUGUCAUAUUUCUUUUUUUUUUUUUUUUGCAAAAUGUGUGUUCUAUACAGGCCAUUUUUUGGCAGCCAACUGUCUCUCUGCCUCCAACACAUUCUCCACAGGCUGCUGGAGUGGCCUUUCUGAAAUGCCAAUCUGAUCGUGUCACCCUUUUUCCUAAAGACACAAAACGACUUCCCGCCACCUGGAUCCAGUGUUUCCAACUCCCCUUUUAGUUUUAGGGGUCCAUCUAGAGCCUAGCUUCCCCAGCCCCACAAAGCAGGGCCACCAAGUGCAGCGGUGAGGGUCGUGCACAGCUCAGGGGGCAAGGACACCCAGAGAAGGACCUUGGGGUGCACCCCCUAGAGGUGAAUGGCAGGGCAUCCUGCCAAGCAACCACCUUGCCUAGGAACCUUAGCUCAGGGCUCCCAUCACUUCUUGCCAGUCCUCCAAACCCAUCUCUUCCAACUCCUCCAGGACUACAUCCAGGCUCUUCCUUCUGCCCUAACACACUUCCUCCCUUGUGGCCUGGUGAGCUUCCUCUUCGGCUGACCCCACUUUCACAGGCUCCUCUCCCUCCCACCACCCCCCAACCUUUGUGUGUCCCUUUAACCCCCUCUCAGGUGAUUCUCUCGCUAGCAUGGGGCUGCAGGUGUUUGUGUCUGGUCCCACCCCCAGUCAGAGGAGGUGCUCAGGAAAUGUGUGUGGAACGGAUGAAUGAGGGCAUGAGUGAAGGCAGCCUUCUUUUGGGAAAAAAAAAAUUUAACUGAGGUAUAGCUGAUGUACAUAUUAUAUAAGUUACAGGUGUACAGUAUAGUGAUUCAAAAUUUUUAUUUUUACUUUUGGUCUUUUUUUUUUUUUUUCGGUCUUUUUAGGGCUGCACCAGCGGCGUAGGGAAGUUCCCAGGCUAGGAGUGGAAUCAGAGCUGCAGCUGCCAGCCUACACCAUAGUCACAGCAACGCGGGAUCUGAGCCACCUCUGUGACCUACCCACAGCUCACAGCUAUGCCGGAUUCCCAACCCACUGAGUGAGGGCAGGGAUCGAACCCCAGUCCUCAAGGAUUAAAGUCAUGUUCAUUACCGCUGAACCACAAAGGGAACUCCCUGAUUCACAAUUUUUAAAGGUUAUGUUCCAUUUAUAGUUAUUGUGAAAUAUCGGCUAUUUUCCCUGAGUUGCACGGUGUCUCCUUGAAGCUUAUUUUAUAUGUAAUGUUUUGUACCCCUUAAUCCCCUACCUCUAUCUAGCUCCUCCCCCUUUCCUCUCCCUACUGAUGCCAACUAAUUUUUUCUCUGCUUCUGGGAGUCUGUGAAGGCAGCCUUCUGACAGCCAAACCCAGUGGGCGUGAGGAGUGAGAGGUGAAGACCCAGAAUCUCCUCAGCCUUCUCAGCCUAAUGCAAAAUUGUGCACGUACGUGAUAGGCUGUUCUUUUGUAUAAAUAUCUCUUCAACACUUUGGAAAAGGC
rnacentral:lncRNA from 1 species